GAAAUGCGAUACUUGGUGUGAAUUGCAGAAUCCCGUGAACCAUCGAGUCUUUGAACGCAAGUUGCGCCCGAAGCCAUUAGGCUGAGGGCACGUCUGCCUGGGUGUCACGCAUCGUGUUGCCCCCACCAAACAUCUCUUUAGAAGAUGUUCCGGUUUGGGGGCGGAUACUGGCCUCCCGUGCCUUGUUGUGCGGUUGGCGCAAAAAUGAGUCUUUGGCGAUGGACGUCGCGACAUCGGUGGUUGUAAGAAGACCUUCAUGUCUUGUCGUGUAUGCCCAUCACCUUAGUAAAGCUCAAGGACCCUUAGGCGCCACAAAAUGUGUGAUGCGCUUCGACUGUGACCCCAGGUCAGGCGGGACUACCCGCUGAGUUUAA
rnacentral:misc_RNA from 1 species